CGGGUAUAGUUUAGUGGUAGAAUACCAUGCUUCCGACCUGGUUGCGAGGGUUCGAUUCCCUCUACCC
rnacentral:tRNA from 1 species